GAUUGCCGAUCCAAGAUGCCGAAAAUAGUGUCUCAGUUGGUUAAUGCAAUCACGAAGUUAGAUGGUUCUGUAGCAGUUGUCACUGGUGGUGCACGAGGAAUUGGAAAAGCGAUCACGAAGUCUUUGUUACAGAAGAAAGGAAAGGUAGCACAUGCAGACUUUAUAAUAUGGUUUACUGCCGUAUAAAUACCUUCUGGUUUGAAUAUACUAAUUAAUAUUUUUGUUUAUCACUAUGAACAUGAGUAACCCGGAAUCUUAUAUUUCAUUAAUUGUCUGAGCAGUGUAAAUGAUUAGCUUUGAUUAAUGGUUGCGGGCAUUACUGUAAGUCAAAGUUGCAAGUGUAAAGUGAGUGGCUAUAUCACUAAGAGGGCUUCAAUUGUAAUUCUGUGUUCCGUGACGAUGUCGCAUGCUUGCAAUCUGUGAUUGCUGUGAAUAAACUGUGAUCUCUUCAAAAUGGCCGAUGUUUAACAGAUAAUCUAUGGAAUUUCUUUGUUUCUAAGUUGUUUUCACUGCAGUUUACUGAAUUUAGAUUGCAGUUUUGUCCAAACUCAGAAGCGAGAAUGCCAGCAAGUAUACGACCUUUAUUUUGUAACUUAAUCCUUUACUGACAUAAUUAUCUGAUCAAUGGUGUAUCUGCGCUAAUUAUAGAUAAAAUAAACACCGAAAAAGCGUUUAGCCCCAGUUAUUGUAAUGUUUGCAAAUAUUUCUGUCUCGAUACUAAUAUCCUAAAAGAUUAUUGCAUUAAUGUUUUGAUUUAAAACUCUAACAAGCAAUAUGAUAUAGAAUUGUGUUGACAGAAUACUGAAAUUGAGGAGAUUAUAUUUCAGGCAAGACUCAAGAGAGUGUCUAUAUAUUAUCCAUACAAUACAGUAAGCCAAGAUUUUGGAGAAUUUGGACGAGAGCUCAUGUGGGAAACAUCUGCAAGCUUUUUUGUUGAAUGUUUUAUUUAGUGUACGUAGGUAGCGCAGGUUCGAUUAUACAUCAUAGUAAGUUUAACCACACACAUGCAUGUUUGUGUAUUGAUAUUAAAAACAAAGUUUAUCAAAUACUAAAUGGCCGGCAGUCU